CUUCCCACGGUACCAAGGGAGCUUAUCUUCAUGACCAUGGUGAUGCAGCAGAUAAGUCACUAAGUCCAACCACAUUACAUUUAUCUGUAUUUGACAUUAAAAACAACUAUCAGCUAAGGCAAAGGAAACAAUGCGCAAAUUUCUUAAUCCGAAACAGUAGAGUAACAGAGACGCAUUACCCAGUAAGGAACUACAUAACGCUUGAGCAUUUGCAUUGGAUCCAUCACAAAGUUGAGACAGACAAGUAGAGCAGCCAUUGCAGUCCAACAAGCAGUAGAAGUAAGGACAUCAUUCCUCUUUUUAGGGAGGAAACAGUCGCUGUCUGGAUGGUAAUGAUAACCCUUCUUCCCCAGACUUCAAGCACACUGAAACUGUGAUAUAACAAACUAAGUUCCACAUAUAAAGAGAUGUCCAACUCUAAUAGUACGAGGCCUUUUGGGAUGGAAACCAAAAGUAAAUCCAUGCGGGCUUGCCAAUUAGAUCCAAAGUGGACAAUAUCGUACUAAUCAGAGAAUAUAGAGUUGGACACGGGAUUUAAGAAUCCCAACAAUUGGUAUCAGAGCGGUUGAUGAGAAAUCUGCAAGAAAGACCGAAAUACCCUUUGAAUGAUGAAUGAGUGAUGAAUGGGUAUCCUAUGAGUUAGGAAUGAGAGGUGUGUAGCAGAUAUCGAGUCAGAAGAUCCUGGAAGUCAGUUGUGGGACACGAGAUGAAUGUGAUCCUUAGUUUGAGGGGGAGAAUGUGAUAUAACAAACUAAGUUCCACAUUGGAGAAUUAGACAAUGAGAGUCUAAUAUAUAAAGAGAUGUCCAACUUUAAUAGUACGAGACCUUUUGGGAUGGAAACCAAAAGUAAAUCCAUGCGGACUUGCCAAUUAGGUCCAAAGUGGACAAUAUCGUAUUAAUCAGAGAAUAUAGAGUUGGACACGGGAUUUAAGAAUCUCAACAGAAACAACAUAUGAAGGACAUAUGAGCUUUGUUUUUUACUUGAUGUGUGUCAGCUUAAGCUAUUAAGUAACAAACAUAAGAGUUCGUUUACCAAGUAGAAAGGGUAAGCGAGCAUGACAAGAGGCAGUGUAAAUCUAAAGAAUCCAGUCGGUUUGUCAGAAAUAACUAACUCUUUUUAUUCACUUCAAAAUUAUAUUUCUACUUUAUCAUACCAAAUUGUCAUUUUUGUUUCUUUUCUCAAUAUGUAUUAUAUAAAUUCUGAAUAUGUGACCUAAUCAAAUUUGAUUGUUUAUAUAUAUCAAGAAAUGUUUAAAAUAAAUUUAAAAAUAAAUGAAAUAAACUUUUUAUUUAUUAAAUAAAUAAAAAAUAAAAAAGUUCGUUUUUUUGGUCAAACUAGAUCCUUUUAUAUCGGAAUUUGAAAAAUUAUGUUGCUUAAAUUAGAUAUAUUUCAAUUUGUGAUUUAUCUAUAAAUGUACGUAUCUAUCCAAAUUUUUAAAACACCAUCAUUCCAUUAUCUAAGAUGAAAAACGCAUUUAAACUUUUGCUUAUUGGUUUCGUUAUGCUCACGAUUCUUCUAUUAGGAAAAACGGUGGUUGCUCGGAAAGGAAAAGGCCAAUGUGUAAAACUUCAUCAAAACACAGUGGCAUGUAUACACGUAGUCUGCCGCGCCUUCUGUCCAAGACAUUAUAACGAAGGGGUUGGUAGUUGCGUUGUUGUAAAAGAUAGACCAACGGCAUGCCAAUGUAAAUAUAAAUGCUUUUCUUUACCAAACUAAAACUAAAAUAAUAUUGAAAAUAAUACUACGCAUUUGUCAAAGAAAAGAAAAAGAAUGUUAAUAAAAUUUUGCUGAUGUUUUUAGCGUAAUAAGGUGUAACUAGAUUCUAGUCCGCACAUCCGUGCGGAUAACAUUUCAUUUAUAGAUAUAAAAUUUUAUAUUA